rnacentral:lncRNA from 1 species
UCCCGACAAUCGUCCAUCUAAUAGCUUUGGUGGUCCUAAUUGAUAGAAUAUUGCUUUAAGAGAUUGUCUUUUGAUGAUUCUGAAACAGCAAGAUCUGAUCUCCUGGGAUUUUGUGAUAUGGCAUUCGAUUACACUUUGGAAGAACAAGGUCAGAGCUUUGUUGUAAAGUUGAAAAUUAUUGUGGUCUUGAGGAUUGAGCAAAAUAAUUAAAGAAAAUGUUGUUUGAUAAUACUAUUUAAUUGGAGAAGAAGAUACGUUAGUUAGACGUAUCAGGAAAAAGAAGGGAAAUAAAUUUAAAAUAUGUUUGUUAGGGUACGAUACGGUAUGAAUCUGUAUUAAUAAUUUAUUUUAGUUUUUAUUAUACUUUUUAAACUAAAAUAUAAUUGACUUAUAUAAAAAGUAUUUAUAAUAUUUUUUUAAAUAUUUAUGUUAAAAUUGUAGACUUUAAAAUAAUUAUUUCUUAGCAAUUUAUUUGUGUAUAUUUUUUUUUUUACAACAAACGGCUAUUCUAUUACUCAAACUUGAAGUGAUUUAAUUAGGUAAUCAGACCAGAAUAAAACAAUCAAUAAAGCAAAGCUUUCUAUACAAAGACCUCGUAAUUCUAGAUAAAGAGUCACAAAUUUGAUUUUGCACUCAUGUAAUAUGAGUGAUCUUAGACAACCAAUAAAUUUGUGUAUAUUUAUAUAUCUAUAAAUAUUGUUUAAUAUAUAUAUAUAUUUAUGUACUUUAUAAAACAUAAUUUUUAAUUUUAAGACAUUAUAUAUAUAUAUUUUGAUGCAUGUAAACUAUUAAUAAACAAUUGUAAAUAUGCAUAAUGUUUAACUUUGAUUUGUACUCAUAAAUGUUUUACAAUGACGUGCGAUAGUUAUACAUAUAUAUAGGGGUGUCAAAAUGGGUCAAAUGGGUCAACCCAACCCAAAAUCCAAAUGGGUUUACUGUUAAUGAGUCAUGGGUCAACCCAACCCAUUUAUUAAAUAGGUUGGGUUGACCCAUGACCCAUUAAAUUAAAAAGGUUAGAUGGGUUAAUGGUUGACCCAUGGACCCAAUAUCUUUAUAAUAAAUUAUUUUUAAGUUAUGACCAAGUUGAUCAAAAUGAUAAAAUGUUUUUUGUGGUUUAGGCGGAAAAUAACAUUUUUGCGGGAAAGUGAAUUUUCCCAGUUUUGGCGGGAAAAUGCGUUUUUGCGGUUUUGGCGGGAAAACAUGUUUUUACGAUUUUGGCGGGAAAAUGCGUUUUUGCGGUUUUGGCGGAAAAAUGCAUUUUUGCGGUUUUGGCGGGAAAAUGCGUUUUUGCGGUGUUUUGGCGGGAAAAAGCAUUUUUGCGGUUGGCGGGAAAAUGCGUUUUUGCAGUUUUGGCGGGAAAAUGGAUUUUUGCGGUUUUGGCGGGAAAAUGCGGUUUUGGCGGGAAAAUGCGUUUUUGCGGUUUUGGCUGGAAAAUGGGGUUUUGAGGUUUUGGCGGAAAAAUGCGUUUUUGCAGUUUUGGCGGGAAAAUGGGGUUUUGAGGUUUUGGCGGGAAAAUACGUUUUUGCGGUUUUGGCGGGAAAAUGCGUUUUUUUGCGGUUUUGGCGGGAAAAUGCGUUUUUGCGGGAAAAUGGAUUUUUGCGAUUUUGGCGGGAAAAUGCAUUUUUGGAGGGAAAUUGCGUUUUUUGCGGUUUUGGCUGGAAAAUGGGGUUUUGAAGUUUUGGCGAAAAAUGCGUUUUUGCGGUUUUGGCGGGAAAAUACGUUUUGGCGGGAAAAUUGGUUUUUGCGGGAAUAAAUGAUUGAACUUUAGAGAAAUUCAUGAUUUUCCAAUUUUAUCAAACCUUAGAAUUGAGUUUACUCAUGGUUUUUUUUAAUUGAAAACAAAAUGGGUUAGAGUUGACCCAACCCAAUAAACCCAUUAACUUGUUAACCCAUUAACCUGUUAAUCCAUUAACCUGUUAAUCCAUUAAUCUGUUAACCCAUUAACCCAUUUGAUCAAAAAUAAACAGUUCAUUUGGGUUAAUGGGUCAAAUUGGGUUGGGUCAACCCNNNNNNNNNNNNNNNNNNNNNNNNNNNNNNNNNNNNNNNNNNNNNNNNNNNNNNNNNNNNNNNNNNNNNNNNNNNNNNNNNNNNNNNNNNNNNNNNNNNNAGCAUUCGAUGGGAGGAAGAUCCUUGCAAUACCAACAAAGCUUGUUCAUCCAAUUCACUCCAUAUAGGAGGAAGUAUUAGGAAAGAAGACUGAUUCAAACGAGGGAUAAGCGGGAAAUUAUAACCCGCCACAUCCAACUUAAAUAUGAAGAUGAGUUUCUCUUCUACCUGCCACCAAAAAGAGAGAUACACGAACAUAACACCAACACCCGGAAUAGAACCCGUAAGAGAACUGCAUACUGCAGACGAUCGCACCAAGGGGAUAAAAACGCUAUUAGAGGUCGCAAGAGUAGGACCAAAUAACACUAAACCCAUCCGUAUAUCACCGACUAAAGUCAUGAACCUCAAUUCCAACGUCACCCACACAAAUAGCUGUCUAAUCCAUUCUACAGUAGCAGAAUAACUGGAAAAGAAAGAGCUAAGAUGUACAUGAGGGACCUUAGAGCAUCCCCAUCAGUAAACUUAGGAGAGCUCGAUUUCCAAGACAAUUUUAAUGAUUUUUUAUUUUUUAUUUUACUUUUUUUUUGUUUAACUUAAAAAAAAAAUAGGCAGACCAAUCGUGGGCCGCCACGUGUCGUUGGACCCGCGAAACAGUAGUGAUACCGCCCCUUACGCAAAGAGUUGCAGGAUACAGGUUCACAAAAAAUAGUAUAUUAUAUUAUUUUGUUUUCUUGGAAUUUGUGUGAACUUCAGGUUAAAACCUUCAAUGGGCAUGCUCUUACAAGGAGGAGUGAUAGGAAGGUCGAAACAAGAACUGAAUAAAGAACAGUCAACACAUCCAAAUAUAGACCUGUAUAACACAGGAGAGAGAAGCCCGUAGGCCAAUAAAGUGUCACUUGCAGACACAUGAGCACCAGCACCACCUCCACUCUUUGUCGCUAUCCUACAUGGAAGCUUUACAGUUGAAAUCUGAAAUAAAGCUUGAAGAGAUGGUCCGGAGGAGGUGUCGCAGAAACGCAGAGGAGCGUUGAGAAAUAAAACGUCCGGAGGAUCUACAGGUUCCAGAGGGCACAUAGGAGAAGGAGCUUUAAGAGGAGGGUCUGGUGGUUCUGGCGGAGAGGGAGUUUUAAACGGCGGAUCUGGUGGAGGCGGAUCUGGCGGAGGGAAGGUUUCAAGCAGCGGUUUUAUCUUUUCCACCGGAAACAGAUAUGGAGGUUCUGGCUUCGAGGGUAGUACAUGAGGGCUCUUUGUCACUGAAACGCAAGCAGACUCUGAGACAUUGGAACGACGAGUUCUCACCGGAGGCAACGACCUAGGCGUGGGAGAGGCAGAGGCAAGUGAAAGGCUCGACCUUUGAGCUUUCAAUAGUUCUUCACCUCUCCGAGAAACGCUUCGGGUCAUCCUAGGUAGAAUCCCAACGAGGAGAAGCAUAGCUUCUUAAUGGGAGUUUCGGACGGAGGCGACGGCGGAGAGACCUUGCAGUGUGAAUCCAUGGAGAUCGGACGGAGACGACGGCGUCUUGGGUGGUGUGCCAGAGAGAAAAGUCUCUAGGGCGAACUCAGUUACUAUCAAAUAUGAUCAUAUAUAGUAGUUAUCAUUUCUUCUUUUCAUAUAUUUGAUGCUCAAGAAGAAGGCGAGAUAUAUAUAUAUAUAUAUAUAUUUUUUCUUAUAACGUUUACAGUCUUGAUUGAUGGCUUCCAAUCUGGAUACAUACGUACUAGGGCCUAGCUCGUGUUUUCGCAUGUUAGUAAUUACUAUGAUGAACUCAACAUUAUUUGUAUAUCUAUGUUUCAACUUGUUAUAAAAUUGAGCUAAAAUGUUUAAAUAAAUCACAAAAUUUAGUGUUUAAUUUGAUCACUUUUUUUUAUAAACUGUAACAAGAAAACCAAACAUGACCGGAAUGGAUACAAUUCACUUUGUAUAGUAAAAAUAUUCGGUAUAACCUAAAAAUGUUCACUAAAUGUUUUUCUAUCGUAACAUACAAAUGCAAACACAAAUGAACGUAGCUAAAUUAAGUAAGACUAAAGUAAGAUAAGUUUACCUCAGCUUGUAUGGUGUAAAUAACCCUGUCAUCAACAAUAGAGUAGAUGGCGUUAAGAAGGCAGAGACCAUUUUCACUAAGUACUUGAAGAACACUAGAAAGCCGUGGUUGGCCACCAUAGUAGCGGCUGCUAAACACUAUUUCCAGACCCGCCAAACAGUGACGAACCACCACAUGAUUCAUCAUCUUCAUCUCAUCCUUAGAAUCAUCAGAGAAGCUUCCUCUAGAGAGUAACAUGAGCUCAUCUCUCUUUGAACUCAGUUCCUUGAUCUUCUUAUGCAGAUACGUUAUGUAGUUCGCAGCCUCAUUCACUUGAUCAGAUGUGGAACGCUUACCCUAAGCAAAAAAUCCCGUCAAGAAACAAAGAAACCAAGAUAUUAAUAGAUCUAGUAUUAGGAAUCUCUUAAGAAAACCACUAUAGUGAAGUCAAAAGCACAAAGUCAAAACACUUGCGAUGAUCUCUUUUCAUUUUCUUACAUGGAAGACCAAGUCAAAUGACAAAGACUACGUACAGAUCUAAGGUAAUAAUAAAGCAUCAAAAUCUGGAUUAGGGUUAUAAGAACUGGGUAGUGACCUGAAUGAAGUGAAGAGGGAGAAGGGAACGAAGAGAAGCAUAAAGAGAAGCCAUUUCUUGUCUUCUUUGUCUCUCGAUUUCUCUAUGCAUCAUCUUCUCCAUGUCGUUAUUAUCAGUACUUACUCUCAGUUUCGUACACCGUCUUCUCUUCUCCCGACAAUCGUCCAUCUAAUAGCUUUGGUGGUCCUAAUUGAUAGAAUAUUGCUUUAAGAGAUUGUCUUUUGAUGAUUCUGAAACAGCAAGAUCUGAUCUCCUGGGAUUUUGUGAUAUGGCAUUCGAUUACACUUUGGAAGAACAAGGUCAGAGCUUUGUUGUAAAGUUGAAAAUUAUUGUGGUCUUGAGGAUUGAGCAAAAUAAUUAAAGAAAAUGUUGUUUGAUAAUA